rnacentral:snoRNA from 1 species
GCAUGGGUGAAUUCUGCGUUGGCCUGACCGUGGCUGAUGGGGUCAGACACCAUGCGAAAUNAAACUCCGUUCUUAGCAGUUCCCUGUGGCGUCCUGGGUUAAACCUUAAGGCAGAAUGCCCGUGCUUGGAAUGGAUACAGAU